GUGGGGAAUCUUCCGCAAUGGACGAAAGUCUGACGGAGCAACGCCGCGUGAGUGAAGAAGGUUUUCGGAUCGUAAAGCUCUCUCGUUAGGGACGAACGUGCUCUUUGUGAAUAAUGAGGAGUAAUGACGGUACCUAAAUAAGAAGCCACGGCUAACUACGUGCCAGCAGCCGCGGUAAUACGUAGGUGGCAAGCGUUGUCCGGAAUUAUUGGGCGUAAAGCGCGCGCAGGCGGGAUAUCAAGUCUGUCUUAAAAGUGCGAGGCUCAACCUCGUGAGGGGACAGAAACUGGUAUUCUUGAGUGUCGGAGAGGAAAGUGGAAUUCCAAGUGUAGCGGUGAAAUGCGUAGAGAUUUGGAAGAACACCAGUGGCGAAGGCGACUUUCUGGACGAUGUCUGACGCUGAGGCGCGAAAGCUAGGGGAGCGAACGGGAUUAGAAACCCGUGUAGUCC
rnacentral:rRNA from 1 species